rnacentral:rRNA from 1 species
UACAGAGGGUGCGAGCGUUAAUCGGAGUUACUGGGCGUAAAGGGCGCGUAGGCGGAUAUAUAAGAUUGAUGUGAAAUCCCUGGGCUUAACCUAGGAGCUGCAUCGAUGACUGUAUAUCUGGAGUACUGUAGAGGGUAGUGGAAUUUCCGGUGUAGCGGUGAAAUGCGUAGAGAUCGGAAGGAACACCAGUGGCGAAGGCGGCUACCUGGACAGAUACUGACGCUGAGGCGCGAGAGCGUGGGGAGCAAACAGG